rnacentral:rRNA from 1 species
CUUGAACGCUGGCGGCAGGCCUAACACAUGCAAGUAGAGCGGAGCGGCGGACGGGUGAGUAAUGCAUAGGAAUCUGACUGGUAGUGGGGGAUAACGUCCGGAACCGGGCGCUAAUACCGUAUACUAUCAGCUGAGCCUAGGUCGGAUUAGCUAGUUGGUGGGGUAAAGGCCUACCAAGGUGACGAUCCGUACCUGGUCUGAGAGGAUGAUCAGUCACACUGGAACUGAGACACGGUCCAGACUCCUACGGGAGGCAGCAGGGGGGAAUAGUGGACAAUGGGCGAAAGCCUGAUCCAGCGAUGCCGCGUGUGUGAAGAAGGUCUUCGGGUUGUAAAGUACUGUCAGCGGGGAGGCGUUACCCACAGAAGAAGCACCGGCUAACUCCGUGCCAGCAGCCGCGGUAAUAC